GCUGCCCGAAGGCCCUCGUCUUCCCCAGUCGAAUCGCUGUCGCCGUCCAUCUUCACAAGGCACAAGCAGAGCAGUCCCAGCUCCUCUCCUACCCUUGAAACCUAUUGGCUUCCAGAAAGUGGCAGAGCUUGGGGGACGGGCCCUCAGGAAGCCCUGUGCCGGAUACUCAGCCAGGCCCACGGUGGCCCUCGUGUGGGCGGAGGGCAAGGGCGACCCGGAAGGGCGCAGGCGCAGCGCAGCCGAGGGCUCCAGGCUGCUUUGCCCCUGCCUCUGCAGAAGGCUGGUGGAGCAUGUGCUCUGGCAAGGCCUGGUGUUGCGGUGGAGUCACACAGGUGGGCCCUUUCAGAGAUGAAUUGGUCAUGCAGCUGUGCCCCCCUGGGUGGACUCAUGGACUCACGGAUUCCUGGGUUAUCUGAGUGGGAGGUCUCUUGUAUGUGCCCCUCACUGUGUGAUACGACCUCAGCAACCUUCAGCAGGCUCCCAGCAGUAAGGUGACCUAACAUUGGACUUUCCAGCCUCCAGGACCAUGACCUAAAUAAACCUUUGUUCUAAGACCCAUUCUGUGAAAACAGACUAAGGCAGAGGUCCUGAUGGGGCACACUUCAUGCCAGCGCUGCCUGUGCCAGGAGCAAGUCUUGGGCUUUUGCUCUUCCCACCAUCCUCCUCCUUGCUCCUUCCCAGUGGCUUCUUGCCAAGCCCUCAAGACCUGACCUCGUAGCUCCUCCUCAACUGUAAACUCUGAGGGGUAAACUAGACCACUUCUAACAGUCAGUGACUCCCUAAAUGACAAACCCGGCAUAGAUAUAUGGGACAGUGUCCAGGGAGUAAGGUUUUCAGGCCCUGCCUCAGCGCUGUGUGCUAUCCUUAUCUGUCUGUAGUCCAAGGAGACAUUUCAAAAGAUGCCUCACCCAGGAAGCCUUCUCUGAUUAAUGUGAAACCAAUAAAAUCUAAUAACCAUCCCUCCUCUCACCUGCAGGCCAAAUGACCACUUUAGAUCACAAGGCUUGACACACUGAGAGUCUGUGGGGAGCACUGCUGAGUACACCCAUGACUUGACAUACCAGUGUUCAUUACAUGCAUGAGCCAUG
rnacentral:lncRNA from 1 species